CUGGAGCAUAGAAUAACUAUUGGACCACUGAGACAACAGCGGAUUACUGAUCAAGCCUAUAAUAUUAUCUGCUGAAGGGUUGUAUCUUAUUAUCACCACUGGACUCUUUCCGAAAUGGAGGGAAAAGCUUUUAUUAUAAUGUGCAUUUUUAUUGCAACAGUCCACGCGCAAAGUUCAACAACUCAGUCCACAGUAGAUUCAACAACCGACACCUCUGCAACACCCACAGCUACAAUGACGUCUUCAACAACCACUACAACUCUUGCUGAAUCAUCCACUACUACUGCAGGAGUUACCACGACAGCACCACAAACUACUUUUACAACAGCUGAAUCCUCCACAACAGCUACAACAACAGCAGAUCCUUCAACAACCACUACAACUAUUGCUGAAACAUCCACUACUACUGCAGGAGUUACCACGAUACCACCACAAUCUACUGUUACAACAGCAGAAUCCUCCACAACAGCUACAACAACAGCAGUUCCUUCAACAACCACUACAACUCUAACUGAAGCAUCCACUACUACUGCAGGAACAACCACAACAGCCCCACAAACUACUGUUACAACAGCAGAAUCCUCCACAACAGCAACAACAACAGCAGUGCCCUCAACAACCACUACAACUCUUGCUGAAUCAUCCACCACUACUCCAGGAGUUACCACAACAGCACCACAAACUACUGUUGCAACAGCAGAAUCCUCCACAACAGAUACAACAACAGCAGUGCCCUCAACAAUCACUACAGCUCUUGCUGAAUCAUCCACCACUAUUGCAGGAGUUACCACGACAGCACUACAAACUACUGUUACAACAGUUGAAUCCUCCACAACAGCAACAACAACAACAGUUCCCUCAACAACAAUUACAACUCUUGAUAAAUCAUCCACGACUACUGCAGGAGUUACCACAACAGCCCCACAAACUACUGUUACAACAGUAGAAUCCUCCACAACAUCUACAACAACAACAACAGUGCCCUCAACAACCAUUACAACUGUUGCUGAAUCAUCCACGACUACUGCAGGAGUUUCCACGACAGCACUACAAACUACUGUUACAACAGCAGAAUCCUCCACAACAGCUACAACAACAGCAGUUCCUUCAACAACCAUUACAACUCUUACUGAGGCAUCCACUACUACUGCAGGAGUUACCACAACAGCACCACAAACUACUGUUACAACAGCAGAAUCCUCCACAACAUCUACAACAACAACAACAGUGCCCUCAACAACCAUUACAACUGUUGCUGAAUCAUCGACCACUACUGCAGGAGUUACCACAACAGCACCACAAACUACUGUUACAACAGCAGAAUCCUCCACAACAGCUACAACAACAGCAGUUCCUUCAACAACCAUUACAACUCUUACUGAGGCAUCCACUACUACUGCAGGAGUUACCACAACAGCCCCACAAACUAGUGUUACAACAGCAGAAUCCUCCACAACAGCAACAACAACAGCAGUUCCUUCAACAACCAUUACAACUCUUACUGAGGCAUCCACUACUACUGCAGGAGUUACCACAACAGCACCACAAGCUACUGUUACAACAGCAGAAUCCUCCACAACAGCUAGAACAACAGCAGCAACAUCUGAAACACCAGCAACUUCAUCGCCAACAGCACCACAAAUUACUGUUACAACAGCAGAAUCCUCCACAACAGCUAGAACAACAGCAGCAACAUCUGAAACACCAGCAACUUCAUCGCCAACAGGUUCAGCCACAGUCUUUACAUCUAUUAUUGGUACAUCCACCAGUGGUACAGCAAUAACCGCAAUAGUGACACAAUCUAAAGUUACUACAGAGUCUACAGCAUCUAACACUUCUACAGAACCUGCAGUGUCUACAGCUGCUAUAGCUUCUACUGUAUCUACAGCUUCAACAGCAUCUACAGCAUCAACAGCAUCUACAACCUCUACAGCAUCUACAGCCUCUACAACAUCUACAACCUCUACAGCAUCUACAACCUCUACAGCAUCUACAACUUCCAAAGCAACUACUGCAAAAAUAAUACCUGAAGUGCUAACAGAUCUAGUGUUUAGCUCUUUUGAGACAUUUAUAGAUGCACUCAGUGAUGUCAACAGUGAGGAGUUUAAGAUUAGGUCUAAACUUGUCAAGGAUGAGCUUGAGCCUGUCUACAAAAUCAAGUAUUCUAACUUCCUCAGACUGAAUGUCCUAAGAUUCAGAUCAGGGUCAAUCAUCACAUCAACACAACUAGCUUUCAGCUUCAACCAAACUAUCCCAUCUGUUCAAGAGAUUUCAAACACCCUCUUGGAAGCAGUGGGAACAGGGGAUGUCAAUCCAUUAAAGAUAAUCCCUGAAUCAAUUUCAGUCAAUGGUUCAGCUACAACUGUUGCUCCUGCAACAACUACAACAACCACCACAGCAACUACAGUUUCAGGCGGAUUAAAGAUUGAAUCCAGUCUGUUCCAAGCAAUAUGCCUCAUUAUUAUGUCUAAAAUAUUAAGCUUUUUCCUAUAGAUCCCUUAAACAUAUCAACCAAACAUGAGAGUUCAACAAGACACACUGUAACAAAUUAAUUAAACACAAAAUGUAUUUAUUAUUAUUAUUAUUAAAUGUAUAGUAUUUCUCAUUGUAGCACAUUCUCAAAUACUAGUAUUGAGCAACAUAAAGAUAACUUUGAUAAUGCAUUUUUGCUGAAGAAUAUAACAGUAGAUAUCUGUUUAACAGCAGGCUGUUUUCUGGGAGGGAGAAGUAGAUCUUUUUCCUUAUGUAUUUCCUUUAAAUGUAAACAUUGUGAAUGUUGUUUAACUGUUUUGAGGUUAAUACUGUUUAAACUACUUAUUUUUGUUUGUCUAAGUUCUA
ensembl:lncRNA